UACGGGGGGGCAAGCGUUGUUCGGAAUUACUGGGCGUAAAGGGCUCGUAGGCGGCCAACUAAGUCAGACGUGAAAUCCCUCGGCUUAACCGGGGAACUGCGUCUGAUACUGGAUGGCUUGAGGUUGGGAGAGGGAUGCGGAAUUCCAGGUGUAGCGGUGAAAUGCGUAGAUAUCUGGAGGAACACCGGUGGCGAAGGCGGCAUCCUGGACCAAUUCUGACGCUGAGGCACGAAAGCGUGGGGAGCAAACAGG
rnacentral:rRNA from 1 species